GACGUAGGGGCCGAGCGUUGUCCGGAGUUACUGGGCGUAAAGCGCGCGCAGGCGGCGCAUCUGGCCCGGCGUGAAAGCCCCCGGCUCAACCGGGGAGGGUCGUCGGGGACCGGUGCGCUUGAGGGCGGUAGGGGCUGGUGGAAUUCCCGGUGUAGUGGUGAAAUGCGCAGAUAUCAGGAGGAACACCUAUUGCGAAGGCAGCUCGCUGGGACGUAACUGACGCUGAGACGCGAAAGCGUGGGGAGCAAACAGG
rnacentral:rRNA from 1 species